UUUUUACAGUCUCAAGACAAAGAAAAUUUCUGCUGGAAGGUUAGCAUUAGGUGAUUGCUUGGGACGUUAUAGCGUUGGGAGCCAAGAAGCUUGUUAAGUUAUUCUCAGGUGCUUUUGGCAAGGUUACAAAGGGGCUCGUCAGCUUCGGAGGUGACCUUGGUUCUGGGCUCCACUUCUGAGGCCUUGGUGCGAGGCCUCGCAUCUGUGGCCUUGGGGCAGGACUCAACAAUUACUUCUGUGCUAACAAAGGCCUUCAGUAAAUAUUCAACUAUUAGGCCGCAAAUAAGUACCAGCCUCCACAGAGUCGAGCCUACGUGAAAUUAAGGAGACAGAAGAAUGGUCAAAAAGAUGUUCAACACCAUUGAUCGUUGCUGCUGCUGCUAUGUCGCUUCAGUCGUGUCCCGACUCUGUGUGACCCCAUAGAUGGAAGCCCAUCAGGCUCCCCUGUCCCUGGGAUUCUCCAGCCAAGAACAGUGGAGUGUGUUGACAUUUCCUUCUCCAAUGCAUGAAAGUGAAAAGUGAAAGUGAAGUUGCUCAGUCGUGUCCGACUUUUAGAGACCCCAUGGACAGCAGCCUACCCAGCUCCUACAUCCGUGGGAUUUUCUAGGCAAGAGUACUGGAGUGGGGUGCCAUUGCCUUCUCUGAUGAUCGUUAAGGAAAGGCAAAUGGAAAUCAACAUUGAGAUACCCACUUCACACCCAGUAGGAUGACUAUAAUAAAAAAGACAGAUAAUAACAAUGAUGUGGUGAAAUUAGAGCCCUUAUACACUGCUAUCCAAAAUGUAAAAUGGUGUCAUCACUUUGUAAAAAUAGUUCGGCAGUUUCUCAACUGAUUAAAGUUAACAUCUGCCCCUAUAAUUUUACCCAAGGGUACGGAAAAUAAAUGUCUACACAAAAACAUUUACAUAAAUGCUCAUAGCAAGAUUAUUCUUAAUAGUCAAAAAGCAGAAUAACCUAAAAGUCCCUAAACUGAUGAAUGGAUAAACAGAAUAUGGAAGAGCCAUACAAUGGAAUGUUAUUAAGCAAUAAAAAAAAGUAUUGAGACAUGCUACAACAUGGAUGAACCUUGAAAACAUUAGGCCAAGUAAAGAAGCCAGUCACAAGGACCAUGUAUUGUAUGAUUCCAUUUAUAUGAAAUUUCCAAAACAGGAAAAGCUAUGGAGACAGAACAUAGAGUAGUGGUUGGGCUGGAAGAGGAAGGAGCCGAGUGACUGCUACUGGGUAUGGGGGUUUUUGUUUGAGUGAUGAAAAUGUUCGAAAUUUCUGGUGAUGGCUGUACAAUUCUGUGAAUAUAGUGAAAUCAAUUGAAAUGUAUAGUUUAAGU
ensembl:lncRNA